rnacentral:lncRNA from 1 species
CUUACUUGCAUGUUAUCUGACAUGAAGGUGCACAAAGAAUAAUUGUUUCAUGAUUGCCAACAGUGUGUGGGCCAUAAAAAUGCAUUUGAAGAAAUUCAUGUUGUAUAAGGGAGCCUUCUUCAAAAUUUAACUUGGUUCUUUUACUAUAUUUUCUUCUCUUUUUGUUCCUUUAAUUUCUGUUGUUUUAAAACCCGCACCCAAGAUGCCUUUGCAGCUUCUCCUGGGGAGGCCCCUGCAGCAUCCGAAGGGGCCGCAGCACCGGCUACCCCCACCCCCGUAGCAGCAGCACUUGAUGCAUGCUCAGGAAACGAUUUAUUUGAGUCUGCUCCUGAAGUUGCUGCAGCGCCUAAGCCAGAUGCUGCUCCUAGCAUAGACCUGUUUGGUACAGAUGCUUUCUCCUCUCCACCACAAGGGGCCUCUCCUGUGCCUGAGAGUUCUCUCACCGCUGACCUCUUAUCCGGUGAGUGCUUUGCCAAGGUCAGUCUCUGGAGUCGUCUUAUGGGGAUCAUGCAUGGACAGGAGGGCACAAGAAGCUGCAGGUUUAUUGUAUGUUCUUUUAAAUGUAAAAUUAUGUUGUAAAAGAAAUCUUACUCUUUGAC